rnacentral:tRNA from 1 species
GGGGGUGUAGCUCAGUUGGCUAGAGCGCGUCGGUCGCAUCGACGAGGCCAGGGGUUCGAUUCCCCUCACCUCCA